GACGAGCGGCGGAGGGUGAGUAAUGUCUGGGAAACUGCCUGAUGGAGGGGGAUAACUACUGGAAACGGUAGCUAAUACCGCAUAACGUCGCAAGACCAAAGAGGGGGACCUUCGGGCCUCUUGCCAUCAGAUGUGCCCAGAUGGGAUUAGCUAGUAGGUGGGGUAACGGCUCACCUAGGCGACGAUCCCUAGCUGGUCUGAGAGGAUGACCAGCCACACUGGAACUGAGACACGGUCCAGACUCCUACGGGAGGCAGCAGUGGGGAAUAUUGCACAAUGGGCGCAAGCCUGAUGCAGCCAUGCCGCGUGUAUGAAGAAGGCCUUCGGGUUGUAAAGUACUUUCAGCGGGGAGGAAGGCGAUAAGGUUAAUAACCUUGUCGAUUGACGUUACCCGCAGAAGAAGCACCGGCUAACUCCGUGCCAGCAGCCGCGGUAAUACGGAGGGUGCAAGCGUUAAUCGGAAUUACUGGGCGUAAAGCGCACGCAGGCGGUCUGUCAAGUCGGAUGUGAAAUCCCCGGGCUCAACCUGGGAACUGCAUUCGAAACUGGCAGGCUAGAGUCUUGUAGAGGGGGGUAGAAUUCCCAGGUG
rnacentral:rRNA from 1 species